rnacentral:rRNA from 4 species
GCGACCCAGGUCAGGCGGGA